rnacentral:rRNA from 1 species
GACGAACGCUGGCGGCGCGCCUAACACAUGCAAGUCGAACGGAGCUUUGAGAGCUUGCUUUUAAAGCUUAGUGGCGAACGGGUGAGUAACGCGUGAGUAACCUGCCCUGGAGUGGGGGACAACAGUUGGAACGACUGCUAAUACCGCAUAAGCCCACGGCCCGGCAUCGGGCUGAGGGAAAGGAUUUAUUCGCUUCAGGAUGGACUCGCGUCCAAUUAGCUAGUUGGUGAGGUAACGGCCCACCAAGGCGACGAUGCGUAGCCGACCUGAGAGGGUGACCGGCCACACUGGGACUGAGACACGGCCCAG